GAUCCCACUCAGCGCUGGUGAUGAUCUAAAAAAAAUCACCGGUCGCUGGUUGCUUUGGCUUUGACGGUGGUUAGUUGCUCUAGUCUCUAGUAGCCGCUGCUGUCUUUGCUUAAAUUCUACAUCACUGUACGUGCAUAGAUCUAGAAAUGUCAUGGUUGUUCUGUCUGAAUGACGGCGUUGACACUCUCAUCUAUCUCUGGUAGCUUGUCUCUGGAGUUGAAACUGAGUUUGCUGUUAGCUGUUUGCCAAACGUUCCCGGUCAGUGUCUACGAUCUGGGUAGUGGUGCCACCACUAUCUACACAAUUCCGGAUCUCAGAUCAAGUAAGAUUACCCGCCGAAUUUAAGCAUAUCAAUAAGCGGAGGA
rnacentral:rRNA from 1 species